rnacentral:rRNA from 1 species
GUGAGGAAUUUUCCGCAAUGGGCGAAAGCCUGACGGAGCAAUGCCGCGUGAAGGAUGAAGGCCUAUGGGUUGUAAACUUCUUUUCUCAGAAAAGAAUUAUGACGGUAUCUGAGGAAUAAGCAUCGGCUAACUCUGUGCCAGCAGCCGCGGUAAGACAGAGGAUGCAAGCGUUAUCCGGAAUGAUUGGGCGUAAAGCGUCUGUAGGUUGUUUAAAAAGUAUUCUGUCAAAGAUUAGGGCUUAACCCUAGAUAGGCAGAAUAAACUUUUAAGCUAGAGUUUGGUAGAGGCAGAAGGAAUUCCCGGUGGAGCGGUGAAAUGCGUAGAUAUCGGGAGGAACACCAAAGGCGAAGGCACUCUGCUGGGCCAAUACUAACACUGAGAGACGAAAGCGAGGGGAGCAAAUGGGAUUAGAAACCCCGGUAGUCC